UACAGAGGGUGCAAGCGUUGUUCGGAAUUAUUGGGCGUAAAGGGAGUGUAGGCGGUUAUCUAAGUCUUCUGUGAAAUCUACGGGCUUAGCCUGUAAAGUGCAGAGGAAACUGGGUGACUAGAGUGUCGGAGAGGGCAGGGGAAUACCCAGUGUAGAGGUGAAAUUCGUAGAGAUUGGGUGGAACACCAGUGGCGAAGGCGCCUGCCUGGCUGACAACUGACGCUGAGACUCGAAAGCAUGGGGAGCAAACAGG
rnacentral:rRNA from 1 species